UCGGCAACUUCUCAUCCCAAACUAGGUUUUAAAAGAUGCCAGAGACCUUAGCUCUCUCUACGUUAUUGUUUUGUGGUGCUGGCAGACAGUAUGGGGAGUUCUCCAUGCAUCAUGAGUUAGCCCAUUCAGUAAGUUGGCACCAAAUGGAUUCCGAGAAGAAUGUGAUGACAUACAAACCAAAUUUGCCACAUCAACAAAUGUUAAUUGCAUCAUUUGCAUUAACGCACAUGCGACAUGAUUAAAGAGAACCAUAUAACCACUCUUAUAGACCAGUUCACUAGGUUGACAUGGCAUAUAACGUGCCAAUAAGAGCGGCAAUGUUGAACUGGCCAAUAAGAAUGACCAUAUGGCUGUCAUUGAUAAUGUGCUAUGUCCACGUAUGCAGAUAAUGCGAUGAAUUAUUGUUAAUGUGGUAAAUUAAGCAUGAACAUCAUCAAAUUCUUAUUGGAAUCUUCUUAGCAUCAUUAGCAAAUCUCCUCAACACUUCCAUCAGCAGCGCCCUACACCCUCAGCCAUCAAUCCCUUGGCCAGCAGUGAUUCCUGGCUAGAUUUCCUCAGCAUCUCUAUCGAUUCAGCAGAUCUCCUCAGCACCUCCAUCAGCAGCAGAUCGGAGAGGGGACCAUCAUCAUUCCUGAUCUGCUCAUCAUCGGUGGUCCACUACUUUCAAGUAUCCAUUCAAUCUCAUGCCCUAACCUUUGAUCUGAUCUGCUCACUGGCAACGUGUUCUGAUGAAUGUUUUUUAGAUCUGAUGAAUUGUUUUUGUUUGGGACUAUUGUGUCUAAAAAAUUUAAUUUUGAUCAUCUUGAGAAUAAUUUAUAUGCUAACUAUCCGACGGAAUUGUAAUUUUCUUGUUAGAAUGUUAGAAAGAUGGAUUUAUUUGGCGAAAUGAAUUGUGAGAUGCUUAAUUAGAAGAAAGAUUAGAUGGAUUUAGAUA